GCUUCCGUAGUUUAACUGGUAAAACAAGACUUUCGUACAGUUUAGUUCACAGUUCGAUCCUGUGUGGAAGCUCCA
rnacentral:tRNA from 1 species